rnacentral:rRNA from 1 species
AGCUUGUUGGUGGGGUAACGGCCUACCAAGGCGAUUACGGGUAGCCGGCCUGAGAGGGCGACCGGCCACACUGGGACUGAGACACGGCCCAGACUCCUGCGGGAGGCAGCAGUGGGGAAUAUUGCGCAAUGGGCGAAAGCCUGACGCAGCGACGCCGCGUGGGGGAUGACGGCCUUCGGGUUGUAAACCUCUUUUACCACCAACGCAGGCUCGAAGUUCUCUUCGGGUUGACGGUAGGUGGGGAAUAAGGACCGGCUAACUACGUGCCAGCAGCCGCGGUAAUACGUAGGGUCCGAGCGUUGUCCGGAAUUAUUGGGCGUAAAGAGCUCGUAGGCGGCGUGUCACGUCUGCUGUGAAAGACCGGGGCUUAACUCCGGUUCUGCAGUGGAUACGGGCAUGCUAGAGGUAGGUAGGGGAGACUGGAAUUCCUGGUGUAGCGGUGAAAUGCGCAGAUAUCAGGAGGAACACCGGUGGCGAAGGCGGGUCUCUGGGCCUUACCUGACGCUGAGGAGCGAAAGCAUGGGGAGCGAACAGGAUUAGAUACCCUGGUAGUCCAUGCCGUAAACGUUGGGCGCUAGGUGUGGGGACUUUCCACGGUUUCCGCGCCGUAGCUAACGCAUUAAGCGCCCCGCCUGGGGAGUACGGCCGCAAGGCUAAAACUCAAAGGAAUUGACGGGGGCCCGCACAAGCGGCGGAGCAUGUUGCUUAAUUCGACGCAACGCGAAGAACCUUACCAAGGUUUGACAUCACCCGUGGACUCGCAGAGAUGUGAGGUCAUUUAGUUGGCGGGUGACAGGUGGUGCAUGGCUGUCGUCAGCUCGUGUCGUGAGAUGUUGGGUUAAGUCCCGCAACGAGCGCAACCCUUGUUCCAUGUUGCCAGCACGUAAUGGUGGGGACUCAUGGGAGACUGCCGGGGUCAACUCGGAGGAAGGUGGGGAUGACGUCAAGUCAUCAUGCCCCUU